UGCGCAGGCGGCCUGCUAAGCCGGAUGUGAAAGCCCCGGGCUUAACCUGGGAAUUGCAUUCGAUACUGGCAGGCUAGAGUUUGGUAGAGGUAAGCGGAAUUCCGGGUGUAGCGGUGAAAUGCGUAGAUAUCCGGAGGAACAUCAGUGGCGAAGGCGGCUUACUGGACCAAAACUGACGCUCAUGCACGAAAGCGUGGGUAGCAAACA
rnacentral:rRNA from 1 species